rnacentral:misc_RNA from 1 species
GAUGAAGAACGUAGUGAAAUGCGAUAAGUAAUGUGAAUUGCAGAAUUCAGUGAAUCAUCGAAUCUUUGAACGCACAUUGCGCCCGCCAGUAUUCUGGUGGGCAUGCCUGUUCGAGCGUCAUUUCAACCAUCAAGCCCUGCUUGCGUUGGGGUCCUGCGGCUGCCCGCAGGCCCUGAAAACCAGUGGCGGGCUCGCUAGUCACACCGAGCGCAGUAAUACAUCUCGCUUUGGGCGUGCGGCGGGUUCUUGCCGUUAAACACCCCCUUUUUACCAAGGUUGACCUCGGAUCAGGUAGGAAUACCCGCUGAACUUAAGCAUAUCAAUAAGCGGAGGA